rnacentral:tRNA from 1 species
GACCAGGUAGCUCAGUGGUUUAGAGCAGUCGCCCGGCAAGCGAAAGACCCGGGUUCGAUUCCCGGUCUAGUAG